CUUUGACGCUUCCUUCAAGAGGUAGGAAAGAAUAGCUUCUCUCGUCCCAUUCUUACGAGACUUUAACGCAUUGCCAUUGUGUCCAACCAAAUAUCCCUGCAAAACAAGAGGAAGAAUGGCAAAUACACAAGACAAGGAAACUCUCUCUAGUUCGUGAAGGAACUCUAGCAGCAAAUAGGCCAGCCUUGAAGAGGUUGGAGCGGCUCACCUAAUGCCAUGCUAGGCCACUGUUACCGCCAAAUUUCCAGCUCAAUCACUUGAGAGGGAUCGGUCAAUCAGGAACAGAGUUCACUUGCCCUGUUAGCAUUAUUUUUCUAUUUCUUGCGAUUAACUCCUUGAAUAUUUGCUGCUCACACUCAUGUCACUAUUCAAUAAUAUGUCGCAUUUGAUCUAAUGAAUUCCUUCCGAUAUGGGCUGAUCCAAGCCGAUUCAGAUAGGUUCCUUCUUGUUGAAGGUGGUCAGUGGACACGUACUGAUUAUGUUAUCGUCAAUUUGGAUGGUUCAAGGCAUCCUACCUCUUAUGACGAUUUAUCAUUAGUUGCAGCCAGUCCGUGGUUCUCCCUAUACUUUCCUCCAGGCACUUUUUGGUCAUGAAUAUCCUGUUGGUUUGCUAGAUGAAGAGAAAAUUCUUCCACUGGGAAAGGAGAUAAGUGCAGUUGGCAUUUGCAGAUUGCAAGGUGGAACUCCUGAGAUUAAGUCUUGCAAGGACCUUCCCAUUUUCUUGUAAGGAAUUUUAUUGAGGAUAGAAAUCUGCAAGAUUCUAUGGCUUGAACAUACUGAACCCAUUUCAUACUGUUAAGGCAUGCUCCCAUGCUCUGUACUGGUGUUAUACUCUUAUAUUUAUAUUGAAGUAUUUGAAACCAUCCACAGAUGGUAUAUUAGGACAA